UGGGGGAAUAUUGCACAAUGGGGGAAACCCUGAUGCAGCGACGCCGCGUGAGCGAAGAAGUAUUUCGGUAUGUAAAGCUCUAUCAGCAGGGAAGAAAAUGACGGUACCUGACUAAGAAGCCCCGGCUAACUACGUGCCAGCAGCCGCGGUAAUACGUAGGGGGCAAGCGUUAUCCGGAUUUACUGGGUGUAAAGGGAGCGUAGACGGAUGAGCAAGUCUGAUGUGAAGGUGGGGCUCAACUCCCAAACUGCAUUGGAAACUGUUCAUCUUGAGUGCCGGAGAGGUAAGCGGAAUUCCUAGUGUAGCGGUGAAAUGCGUAGAUAUUAGGAGGAACACCAGUGGCGAAGGCGGCUUACUGGACGGUAACUGACGUUGAGGCUCGAAAGCGGUGGGGAG
rnacentral:rRNA from 1 species